ensembl:snRNA U4 U4 spliceosomal RNA
AGCUUUGCACAGUGGCAGUAUUGCAGUCAAUGAGGUUUAUCUGAGGCGCGAUUGUUGCUAAUUGAAAACUUUUCCCAAUACCGCGCCAUGACGAUUGGAAAUAUAGUUGGCAUCAGCAAUUUUUGGCAGUCUCCACGGGGA